GGUCGGCGCGGCCCGGCGCUGGAGCUAGGCGGCCGGACUGGCAGGGGCGGCGUGCCGCGCGGGACCCUCACUGGGGAAGGUGGGGGGUCGGGGCCGCCUCCGCCCCGGGCCGCACGUCCGAAGACCGGAGGAGGGGACUGCGCACGCCACCAAGAGGGCGCACAGCCGAGGCUGGACGAUGCGCGGUUUCGGAGCAGGGUUUCCUGCCCAGGGAGCCCGGCUGCGCUCGAGGGGACCCCGAAGUCACCGGCAGGGUCGGAGCUCGGUGCACCACGCCCCCCCUCUGCGCCCGGGGCCUCUGCGGGGACAGAGGUCUCAGGAAAGUAGCCUUUAUUUAUGUGGCACCGAUCGGAACCCGCGGCCGGCCAGGCGGACCUGGACGGAGCGUCCCUGCUCGGAACCUGGCGCGGGGCGCCGCGCGCUCGUGUGGCGCCUCGGCCUCCCCACCGUUCAGUCCCCGGAGGCACGGAGCUCGCGGCGGGACGAUGACGGUUGGGCCGGGCCAGGCGUGGGAGACUCCCAGACUCCGGCCCGCCGGGACGGCCAGCUGCGUCACCUUGGACGUGGGCAAUACUUCGGAGCCUCGGUUAUGUCGCCUGUAACCUGAGGACAACGGCCUGGAAGGGGCUCAGGUGACACGGCGGCCCUCACUGGGGCCGAUUUAGCCGGUCUGCCGCCCCUCCGCGCCGGACCGCCAGGCGGGGUACCAGGGAAACUGCGAUGCGCCGGCUUGCGAGCCCACCGUGACGCAGAGCUGGCGGCCGCUAGCGACAGCCACCCUGUGAGGGACUUUCCCCCCAAUACCCUAACCGCUUUCCUGUCCCUAAGGGCCCGCUCCCGCCCCGGCUCCGUUUCUGUCUCUCUGAGGAAGCCCGGCGCAGCCUAACCCUCACAGGGCCGCGGAGAGGGCGCGCCAGGCGGGGAUUUGCGCCAGGCCCGCGGCGCAUGCUCAGUGGUUGGGGACUGGGCGGGUACCCCGGGCGGGGAGCCUGACUGAACGGCGGCUCUGCUGAUUGGUCGGGCUGCUCACGCCACGCCCGUUGCCUUCCGAUGGACAGUUCCUUACCUGCCGGGUCGGCCUCCGCAGAGAGUGGUGGUCUUGAAAACCCAGUUUUGGGAGAAUACCUGCCGCGCCUCCCGCCCAAAUACCCAGAGGUUUCAUAGCCGCCAUCGCUGCGGUGGAGGAGGCCGCCUGUUGCGUCCCACCCCACCAGAAAGCCUAACACUGGCCUGAAGCGUAAUCUUAAAGUGGUAGGGGAAAAUACCGAUCUAGCGCAGAGAGCAAAACACCUCCGUUCUGGGUUUAAUGGGCAGGUCUGGAGGUGAGGUAUGCCGUCCGCACUCAAUAAUUACUUGCAGGAUCGGAUUGUUUCUCCAGUGGGUGGGGACUGCAGGAUGUAGCAUUGAGUGAGCCUGGCAGAUUGAAAGAUAAAACAAGGGUGAUGAUAAAAACAAUUACACACUAACCCAUUUCCUCCUCCGUGAAAUGAGGGAAUGGCCCAGACAUUUUCCAGACCUCUUCUGUCCUAAGAGUGGAGCUGGGUGACAGAGCAGGUGCAAGCCGGCCUUUCCCUGCCUCCCCGGGGAACGCACUCUGUUCGGUGAGAGCAACUCAGCUCGCAUUGACUCCUUUCAGCUGCAGGAGUGUGGCCGUUCAGUUCUCAUUUGAACUGUUGACAACAGUUGUCUUCUGAGAAUCAUGAGUUAGAGCCUCCCUUUAGGCUUCUGACUCCCUCAAAAGUACCAGACAACACAAACUUUUCCCCUCUUGUUACCUUGGCUCUCUAAGCUGUAUCUACUUCUAUACAAGGCGAACAAUUUUGUCUUUUUAAAUUAAAAACAACAACAAAAGCACCUAAGGUUGUAGGGUUUUAUAUUCUUUUUUCUUUUCUUUUUUUAAGAGCUAUAUGAUUACAGUAGAGUGUGUGUGUGUGUGUGUGUGUGUGUGUGUGUGUGUAGUCUAAAGAACAAAAUUUCAACAAAUGGUUUUAAAGAUCUAAUUGGCUUCUAUUAGCAAUGCAUGAACCAGGCAGCAUUCUGACUACAAAAUAGACGGGAGCUCUUGUGGGAAUGGAAGAACAGCUGGGUUUUGUUAAGGUAACUUAAGCAGGAACAAGGGAAAAGCAUAGUGCCGAAAGCACAUCGGGUAACUUCAGGUUACUCUCCUUUAUGGGUUAAAGCAGAGGGGGCUGCCUUAGCUGGCUCAGGCUGACUGGGCCCCGUUUGACUGGUUGCUGUGAAUCUCCUGGUUUUUGGAAAACUGGCCCUUUUGGGGAUUUUCCUGUUUUUUAAAAUCUCUGUUUAGUUACGUGGCACCUAACACAGUGGCUUCAUUUUAGUCUGGUCUGUUGGGGCCUAGUUCAGGAGCUCAGUCCAAGACAAUGACCUACCAUAAAUUUUAUUUAAAUAUAUGUAUAUCUGGAAAGUGAAGAAUUCCCCAAACCUACCAAUUUUAUCCAUAUCUCUACCACUCCUAAAUUCUGUACUUACUUGCUGAUUCAGUAUAUUCUAGAAUUGGCAGAUUUUCAUUUAGGAAGCAGAGAACAACAGACAAUGUGCCAACAGUAGUCACUGGCAAUGUCUAACCAAGCACAGGUUCUGACAGACAAGGCGGCAUGGAAACGUGAACUAAGCCCAGGAAGAUGGACCCAGCAACCCAGAGUGGAGCCUCUUCUUCCUGGUGAAGUGCUGUUGAUAACAAAUGGGACAUUCCUAGUGUUAAAGUUUCAGCAGAAACUUGGUCCCUACUGUUCUGGGUUGAAUUGUAGUCCCCCAAAAGAUAUAUUGAAGUUCCAAACCCAGUACCUGUGAAUGUGGCCUUAUUGGAAAUAGGUCUUUGCACAUGUAACCAACUUAAGGUGAGGUCCUACUGGAAUAGGUGGGCCCUAAUUCAGUAUGAAUGGUUGUUUGUUUGUUUGUUUGUUUGUUUGUUUUGACAGAGCCUCACUCUGUUGCCCAGGCUGGAGUGCUGUGGUGCAGUCUCAGCUCACUGCAGCCUCUGCCUCCCAGGAGGCUGGGAUUACAGGCACCUGUCACCACACCUGGCUAAUUUUUUGUAUUUUUAGUAGAGAAGGGGUUUUGCCAUGUUGGCCAGGCUGAGGUCAGGUCGAACUCCUGACCUCAGGUGAUCCGCCCAUCUCAGCCUCCCAAGGUGCUGGGAUUACAGGCGUGAGCCACCACGCCCAGCCUGAAUGGUGUCUUUAUAAGAAGAGACACAAAUACAUACACAAAGGAAAAAUACUAUGUGACAACAAAGGUAGGAAGGAGAAUACUGCACACCUGCAAGCCACAGAACAGCAAGGAUCACUGGGAACCACCAGAAACUGGAAGAGGCAAGGAAGGAUUCUUCCCUAAAGUCAUCAGAGGGAGCAUGGCCUGCUGACACCUUGACUUCAGAAUUCUAGCCUCUAGAACAGUGACAGAAGAAAUUCUGUUGUUUUAAGUUUGUGGAACUUUUACAGCAGUCCUGGGAAACCAACAUGCUGGCCAAAGGCUAUUUUUAAAAUUUCCACCAGAGUGGGCCUGGAAUUGUGUGAAUUCUUUUGGCAUCACUAUUUCCUGGAGAGCAGUCAUACCUACAGAGGGGCAGAGCAUCAGCCCAAAAGAGGGUGCUACCUGGCUACCUGGGAUGAGGCUGACCUCUGGCUGGACUGG
rnacentral:lncRNA from 1 species